CAUUCUUGUUCAUGGGCCCUUUCCCUCUAUAUUUGAACCCCAUGGAUCGUCUCUCGAGUUGUUCCCUUUGGUUGCUUACAAUCCACCACGCUUCCCUGCAAGUUCACACCCUCAUGAACGGAAGCUGAGAGCCGCAACUCUCCCGAGAGCCUCGCUCUCUUGACACCCUACCCCUCGGGUCGAGCCUAGCGGGAGCAAACUGGACCAGCCAGAUGUCAAUCAACAUGUGGUGUGAUUCCCUUAACCAACCAACAGAGUCG
rnacentral:lncRNA from 1 species